GCGGGGGUCGCCAAGCCUGGCCAACGGCGCAGGGCUUAGGACCCUGUCCCUUAGGGGUUCGUGGGUUCAAAUCCCACCCCCCGCA
rnacentral:tRNA from 2 species